AUGAAGAACGUAGCGAAAUGCGAUAAGUAAUGUGAAUUGCAGAAUUCAGUGAAUCAUCGAAUCUUUGAACGCACCUUGCGCUCUCUGGUAUUCCGGAGAGCAUGCCUGUUUGAGUAUCAUGAAAUCUCAACCAUUAGGGUUUCUUAAUGGCUUGGAUUUGGGCGUUGCCAGUUGCCUGGCUCGCCUUAAAAGAGUUAGCGUGUUUAACUUGUCAUAUCUGGCGUAAUAAGUUUCGCUGGUGUACGACUUGAGAAGUGCGCUUCUAAUCGUCCUCGGACAAUUCUUGAACUCUGGUCUCAAAUCAGGUAGGACUACCCGCUGAACUUAAGCAUAUCAAUAAGCGGAGGA
rnacentral:misc_RNA from 1 species